CAAAGUCUUUAUGACUGGAUUGAAGUGAUAAAAGGGAAGUUAUAAAGCUAUAAGGAAAUGAGGUUUGGGAGCUACCCUGGGGUUAGACAAUGUGGUGUCUCAUUUUGGAUUCUUUUCUGAGUGAAGUGAGAAAUUACUGGAGGGAUUUUAGAAGAGGAGUGACACGGUUUAACUUCUCUAUAUCUAACAGACUGUGGAGCAGUUAUUCAAAACUCGGAGGGAGUCGGCAUGGGAGGAUCCAUAUAAUUUCACGCUAAAUUGUGCACGUCUGUUUGUGAAAUGUGAAGGUGCACAUUUGUUUUCCUGGAAGGCAAAUUUCAUUUCUUAUACCACCUUGUCAGAAAGAUCUGUGAUCCCAAGGAACUGCUGUUGUAAAGAAACAAGGACAAGCAAUUUGAGGCAAGAAAUGAUGGUUCCAACGAGGGAGGGAGUAACCAUGGAUAUGCUGAAAUGCAGUUGGUUCCAGGAUUUAUUAGGACAUGAUUAGUUUGUAAUCAUCCCUAAGCUCCACUAAUCCAAUGACAAAAGUCUCAGCACGUACAAAAGAAUGAAAUUCCUCUUCAUUGUCCCAUUUGAACAAACCUGGAGAGAUUCUAAAGGACAGGAGCGGAUAUCAUCAAAGAGACAGUCUCACUUGGCCAUCCUGGCUGGAGUGCAGUGGUGCCAUCCUAGCUCACAGCAGCCUCAGAUUCCUGGGCUUAAAGAAUCCUAUCUUUCAGCCUUUCAAGUACUUGGGACUACAGGCAUGCACCAUCACACCUGGCUAUUUUUUUUUUCUUUUUCUUUUUUUGAGACCGGGUCUUUCUCUGUUGCUCAGGCUGGUCUCAAAUUCCUGGCCUCAACUGCUCCUCUGGCCUCAGCCUCCCAAAGUACUGGGAUUACAAGUGUGAGCCACUGUUCCUGACU
rnacentral:lncRNA from 1 species